AGCCCCAAAGAGGAAUGUUUUAGUCCUAACUGAGCUGAUUCCACUAUGCAAUAUGAUACCAAUCAUUUAUAUUCAGUAAUAAUUAAGGAAUCUUGCAUUUGAUCUUUUUUCCACGGCCCUGUUUUGAUUUUGGCAUCUUUAAUAUUUGAAUACUCUAGCAUAUUCGUGAGUAAGUCCCAAGAAACUGUUCAAACAGCAAUGUCUUUAGGUCAGCAGAAAUUCAAGGGAGAAAUUUGGUUUCACUGUGCAACUAUGAGAGCUUUUGUGACAUGCAUUUCUCUGCAAACUAUUGAAAAUCCCACGCAGUUUUUCACCAAUUUUCACUGAUUCUAGAAUAGAUUGCAUGGGCCCAACUGUGAGGGUCUAUGUGUCUCUCUAAGUGAGAAUUAAUGGGGUAAAAGACGCUUGAAAAAAAAAAGGCAGAUUUUAAAAACUUUGUUGUUGCUGCUCUAAGUUACUCAUCCAUUUUCAUCUUCAGAUGUCCUGUGUGAAUACCUUCUAGGGGAUGGAUUCUCCUGCUGCUUUUGAGAAUGGACAAUGAAUACUUUAUAGAAACAUGAACUUCAAACAUUCAGAGUUCAGUCUUCAUUGCUGGAGUGCCAUUUUGCUUUUCUAUUCACACAGGGCUUUUGUUUUCCCUAAUUCUCAUUUGUGAUGAUAUACUGGGACCAUUAGCUAGAAGCCACACCACUUCAUUAUUUCACAGAACUUUAGGCAAUUGUGAUGACUUUUUUCAAAUCAGCAUUAUUCUGCAAAGUAAAAUAAGACAGAGAAAUGCAAUUGACUAUUUCCCCAGCAUUUCUGAAGAAGAAAUAAACCUGCUUAAAAAUCAAUGAAGGUUACAAUUUCAGAAAUAUUUUUAGAUGUAUUUUUUUUGAAACUGUAUUUCUUUUUGCACAAUUCAUCUUCAUUUUUUGGAGCUACUUAAUAUCCUUGAACUGCGUUUAACUUCCCUGGGAAACUAUAAAGAGUGGGUUGAAAUCUGUAAUUGUAUUAAAGCUGUGGUCCCACUAACAAUAGCUGUUCCACAAAUGCUGGCAAAUGCCUUGUCAUAAGAAUAUAAAAGCAAAGACAACGUGAGUCUUUUUUGUUUUCCUCUGCUCACUUUUUAGUAGUACUGAAACUGAAGCAGAAGCUCAAGGAUUUGGGGGGGAAAGAUAGCCCAGAGAAUUGUCAGUAGGCAAGAUCACAAGCAGCCACAAUCAGCCCCUUGUGUGCAUAUUUCAGUAUCCUAUCUCAGCGUCCUUGAGGAACCAUCACGAUGCCCAGCCUACUGUAGGCAUGCCUGAUAUCUUGCCUAUCCACACAUUAAGAUUUCUCCCUUAUAUCUCACAGUGAAAAAUUUUAAUUCUAUACUAGAUGAUCAGUAUUUUAUUUGAUCAAAUACACCCUUAUCACUGUUCUGUUUUCUAAUUAGUGAAUGACAUAUUAGUAAUGUUAUAGGAACUUUAUGGAAGCAACAUUUUAAUUCCAAGGAGGGUCUCCAGGGCUUCAAAUCUCAAAAGGAGCUCUGUGCAUAAACAUUUCUGUUCAGGUAGGAUGUUCAGUAAUACUUAAGUCUCCCAGAUAAUGGCAUUUUUUGGUCACGUGCAGAUGGCCCCUCGAGAUGACUGAAAGGUCGUACGAAGUAACAGUAUAAUUUUCAAAUAAAGACUGGACCUGUGCAGUUGUUGUCUUUCA
ensembl:lncRNA